GCAAGAAAAAAUAUUUGGAUUGCAACAAACAAACAAAUCGGUGUCAAAAGACUAGUUUCAUAAUCUCAUCUAUUUAAGACUAACCUUCCGCAUUCUGCCGACUUUCCCUGCCCUUUUUUUGGGGUAGGUCAGUAUCCAAAACAUGAACAUGGAAAUAAAAUAUUUCUGAGAGUAAAGCUAAUCAAAAGUUUGAAGAUCCAGGUUUUUCUUUGACCUGUGACAGUGCCAAACUGAAUCCAGCAGAAGGCUAAUUUAAUAUUUUAUACUCAGAAGUGACUAAAUUGUGAAUAAACUGAAGAUUCUGGAAACAGUUCCUCAGUAUGCGUCUGACGACUUCCUGUUUUCUGCCAUAUCGCCCCAUCCUUUUCCGUGAAUGGCUGCUGCAAGUCAUUAGUUGUCACUGUCUGAUAAACAGCAUUUUUAAAAUUCAAAAACUUAUGAAAUAUAACAUUUUAAUUGGAUCAAAAUAUGGAUAUAUAGGCCCAAUAUGGCAGUCACAUUCAAUGGUGACCUAAUGGAGAGUAAAGGACAUGAAGAGGCGUCAGGAACCGGAACUCAGGCUUUUUCACUGAGUU